UGUAUCUAAGCCAGAAAUUUGUUAGUUCUUGAGUCAAAUCAUUGGCAGGUAAAUCCUAAACGGACAGUCCUUGCUAGGGUUAGGUUUUUUAUUUUUCUCUAUAAUAUUUUGGGUGAUUAUAUUGGUGAUUCUGGUUCGAUUUUGAUAACUGUUAUGGUAUUUUUGGUGAUUAAAUAUUGGUGAUUGGUGAUUGGUGAUUCUGGUUGGGUGAUUAUAUUGGUAUUUUGGGUGAUUAAAUUGACAUUUGUUCUCUUGGUGAUUUCCGUAAUUUGUUAUCUUGGUUAUUGCUAGACUCUAGGAGUCUGUCGGAUCAUUUCACUCUCACUUGGGAAUUACUAAUAAUUUGGUUGGUUUGGAUCUGUAACUUCUAUCUUCCAAUGCCAUUUAGUGGCUCCAAAGCGUUUUUCCUUUACAGGAAGUACAGGAGUCUUUUGGCUGGAAUUCCUUCUUUCUAUGUUUGUUUCAAAAGUAAGGAGGAGAAUGGAAGAUUCAAAGUUAGCCCACUACUGAGGAACACAAUAAGCUAGUUAUCUGAGUAUUUCACAAAUAGGUCUCCCAAAAGGGUGGUUUGGUUGUUUAACACUCAAAAACAGUCAUUGGACUUUCUUGAUUGAUGCUAGGGAAAUUAAUAUAAUAGUGUAUGAAGUGGGUUAGGCUUAGGCAUCAGGUACAAUUUCUUUCUUCCACUCAUGAGCAAAUGGGAUUGCAGAGCUGUUAAGGAAUAGUAAAGAUGACUUAAACUUGUGUCCUUACAUCAAUACCGUUUAUUUUAAAUUCUCAUUCUCAAUGAUUGCUAGGGACCCUAGGGUUACAUAGCAAAACCCUUUCAUCUCAAUGAUAAUAUUUUUAUAAACAAACACCCAAGCAAGCAUAUAAGUUUUUAAUUAAUAAGGUAUUGGAUCGAGUUUUCUUUCACCCAUUCAUAUCAUUGCUUGUGAUGAACAUGCUUCUUAUAGGGGUAUUGCUUUUUACACAGAAAUGGACAUUACCCGUAUGAUUAUUUUCUUGUUACUAUAAUGUACUAACAAUUUUUUUUGUAGGUAAGGACUCUUUAGCUCAAAAUGGUAGAGCACCUGGGGUAUUACCCCAGGGUAUGGUGGUUUGAAUCCACCAAGACUCUGGAUGAGUUGAUAGACACUCGUCUUAAUAAAUUGCAAGUUUUUCAGUGGCUGAAAUCUUAAAAUCUGAUUAUUGGAUGGCUUUGAUUAUUUGAAUUCAUUGUUUCUCUUCUCCUCUCUUAUAAUCUGAUGAGGAUUAUAUCAUUUUCUUUGGCCAAAUGAUAAGGAUUGCUAGAGAUAAAAAAUAGGUUGGAUAUUUAUUAACACAAUUCUUUUCAAACCCUGCUUAAUUUAAGGAUACAUACUAACUGUUCUGUGAAUCUUCUGUAUCUGAUUCCCUUCUCCAUGCAGAACUGUCUUUACUUUCAAUUCUGUCCUCUUGGUGCAUAUGAAAAGGCAAAAGCGAAAAAAGCACUUCUGCAAUAUGAUACCUACCAAACCUGCAGAACAUGGAAGAAGUUGAAUAAUAAUUUAUGAUCAAAGCCUACCUAUUUGGUCAUCUGUGGCUGAAAUGAUUACUUGAUAUAAAAUUCCCUAUGGAGCUUAUAGGUUGAACUUUUUGCAGUUUUUGAUAGUUCUACCAUUCAUGCUAACGCUUCUGUUUUUCAUACUGUCUCAACUGGAAAAUGGACAGAUUCUAUAUGAAUGUAUUUCCUAACACUUGCACCAUAUUUUGAUAGUUUUGAAUUCAUUGACACAUGUAUAUUCUGAAGUAUCUAUUUAGAUGCGUGUAAUACCAACUGAACUAAUGUCUGUAUCAUAUUACAAUGUUCAGCAUCACCAUAUAACUGUGUAAUGCUUUCAAAUCUAAGAUCUAUAAUUUCAAAGCUUUGUUAUAAAAUCCAUCCAUUAGGGUAAAAAAGAUGAAAUCCUUUAUACCGUCUAGAGCAUGGCAUCCCCCCUUCAGCAUAAACUGAUCCCAAACCAGAAAGAUCCAGCAAGAGACUAUUACAGACAGAAUAACAGAAAGAGAAUAUAUACCAUUGUAUAAGAUAAAAUUUAUCCCUGGCUUGAGGAUAUCAGACAAACUAGAAACCUGGUUGAGUAUUGGAUAGAACCAGUAGAAUAACUCUGCAUCUUAUCUUUGAAAACAGAGAAGUGGUAUGACCUGCACAGCCAAUUUCUAAUGGUACUAGGAAAACAGGACUGCAGUUCUAGAACUAGAAUUCCAAUGUUCUUUGAAAACAGAGAAGUGGUAUGAUAAGAACAGAAACCCAGUAAAACAUUAGGAAAUGAUCACAUACAUUUUAUCCAAAUAGAUAAACAGAUCCCCAGUUAGAGGAGGCACAAAUGGUCUAUAACAUCCAAAAUCAGAUGAAAUAUGUGCAAAUGAUAUUUUAUCCAAAAAGAAAAACAGAGCCACUGAAAAUCCCAAAAUAAAGAAGCAAUGGAACCAUAUCAACAGCAUAAUAUAUUAAUUGAGGUUUAAUUUUACACUAUACUACACAACUCAUGUCAUUUAAUUAUCAUGGUUAAAAGAAAUAUUAGAAUUAAACUGAUGAAGAUUAGAGUCUUGGUGGAUUCGAACCACCAUAACUUGGACAUUACCCUAGGUGCUCUACCAUUUUGAGCCAAAGACUCCUUACCUAGAAAAAAAAAUUUUAGUACAUCAUAGUAAAAAAAUCAAUGAAAAAUGCUAAGAAUCCAGGAUGUAGUUACCAGCACAAAAAUAACUGAAUGUAUUUAAUAGUCUAAAAUAAAGAUCCUUAUUAACUAAAAUUGAAUCUAAUCUUCAUCUAGUGAUUGAUGAACUUGCUAUGAUGUAUGAGAAAUUGAAUCCUGCAAGUGACAUUGAACAUUUGGACAAUCCAGAUUGGAUUAGAAAGUAAAAAAAAAGACGAAGCAAACAACAUAUCGAGCUGAAAUUACUUACCAUAAGUGAAAUGAAACUAGGGUAUCUAUUAUUAAUCUGUUGUGUAGUCAUUGAUGCAGGAGUUGUUUGCGCUUCUAAUCGUUGACUGUUACUUGGCCCUCCACUUUUCUUUCUUUUUCCUUGUUUUUUGACCUAACUCUUUGAUCGUCUACCACCCUUUGUAUUUUUCUCUUUAUGCUUCAAGCGUAUUCCAUUGUAUACGUCAUCUGGGAAAUCAGUCAAUAUUGGCAUAUUAGGGCAACCAACUGGGUUGAUACUAAUAUUUGCAAGCUUCAGCCUUAAUUCAUUAGCGGCAUCUUUCACCAACUCGUAUCCCUCAACUGUAUUUGAAGCUUUUGCUGCUAUAUGAACAAGUUCAUGGCAUAUACGCCUAUACCGUUGCGUACAGUCCAAGUUGACAUAUUCUUCAACUUCUUUCCCCAUACUGUCAUUGACUACUAUACUCCUUGCACCCUGUGUCCAUCUCUUUAGAAUAUAGAAUUCAAGAAUAUGCUUUAUAUCUAACACAUCCAAAACUUUCAAAUAAUGGCAACAAAGAAGACCCUCUGUCUCAAAUUUCAUGUAAGCGCAAACUAUAAUCCCAUCAAUUGGAUUACAACAGACUUUAUAUUCACAUUCUACAUCAACAAUCCCAACCACAAAAAUCAAUGAAGGAAAGACCACCACCCCGGUUUUUGAUGUAGCAAACAGUUAUCCAAUUAUAUUCCUCUUGAAAUAACUCAAAAAUUGCUGGAGUGUAAAGUUCCCUUGCUUGUUUCUGGACAAGUGACAUUGAAUUUGCAAGUCUAGGCAUCUUGUUUCUUGCUUCAAAUUCAACUUUUAAUUCGUUACCACGCUUUUGGUUAAGAACUCUCUUGAAAUGCUUAAAAAAUUGUACAACAUCCAAACUUGACUUUAAAUAGUCUUUCAAAUCAUUUUUCAGACUCUCACUGUGUUGUUUGCUUCGAAUGCCUAUGGUGAAUGUGUUUUCCAUAUAGCACUUCGUCCAUUUAUUUUUAAGUCUAUAUAUGCAUUGUAACCAUGCAUUAUCCAUAACAUCAUAUUCACUAAGCAAUUUAUGCCAUGCUGUCUCGAAUUGAUGUUCAUCAUCGUAUUGAUAUAUACAUCUCUUUAAAUAUGUAAGAAAUUUGGAGCCAUCUUUCAUCAUAUUACCCAAAUGCUUAAUGUUACACCCGUGCCUUGACUCAGUCUAAUUUGAACUGCUGUGAUAGGUCUCGAACCGGAGAUCGGAAGCACGACGGGGUUUUGGCUCACGGCCGCCUAUUGCCGAAGGGGGAGAAAUGACCCCACAUGUUCGUGCAUCGCAUGCCAGUCUAACUGGAGGGAAUUCAUACCUUUCGAUCCUAGACGAUGAUAAUGCAGGUAUUGUGGUGCCGAUGGCGGGUGACCCAAUAUCUUCUGGGUCAGAGUAUGGUGUGAGCGACUGGUGGAUGCCAAAAGCGGGAGAGUACGAUCAGAACUGUGCUUGUGACCAUUGUGCUUACGACGCACUGUGAGAUUAUACAUUAUACUUUGAUAUUUUUGGGUAUAACUAUGGAUUGUAUAUUUUUUUGAGAUUAUAUUAUAUAUGUCAUGGAUGAAUGUAACAGAAUAACUCAGUUAUUACAAUUAUAUUAUCAUUAGACGUUUCUCCA